rnacentral:rRNA from 1 species
UACGUAGGGUGCAAGCGUUAAUCGGAAUUAUUGGGCGUAAAGAGCUCGUAGGCGGUCUGUCGCGUCCGUUGUGAAAACUCGAGGCUCAACCUCGGGCUUGCAGUGGAUACGGGCAGACUAGAGUGCGGUAGGGGAGACUGGAAUUCCUGGUGUAGCGGUGGAAUGCGCAGAUAUCAGGAGGAACACCGAUGGCGAAGGCAGGUCUCUGGGCCGCAACUGACGCUGAGGAGCGAAAGCAUGGGGAGCGAACAGG